rnacentral:rRNA from 1 species
CCCUUAGAUGUUCUGGGCAGCACGCGCGCUACAAUGGUCUUCGCAAACGGAUGCAUUCUCGAAGGAGAAUGCCAAUCUUGGAAUCUAUGCCUUGGUCGGGACAGUUGCUUGCAAUUUUUCGAAUCGAACCAGGAAUUCCUUGUAAUCGUGAUUCAUCACAUCACGAUGAAUACGUCCCUGCCCUUUGUACACACCGCCCGUCGCUCCUACCGAUCGAAGAGUUAGGUGAAUUGUUUUGAUCGAUAAGAUUUGACUAUGGUCAACUCUCGUUGUGAAAUUCUGUGAAUCUGACUGUUUAGAGGAAGGAAAAGUCGUAACA